AUGGCCGAGAUUGAGCUAAAAACAGCACCUGUUGAUUUUCGUUUUCCUACAACUAAUCAAACCCGACACUGUUUCACUCGCUACAUUGAGUUUCAUAGGUGUGUUACAGUGAAAGGUGAUAACUCAGGCGAAUGUGAGAAAUUUGCCAAAUAUUACCGUUCUCUUUGCCCCGGUGAAUGGGUUGAAAAGUGGAAUGAACAGAGGGACAAUGGAACCUUCCCUGGUCCUCUUUGA